UACGUAGGGGGCAAGCGUUAUCCGGAUUUACUGGGUGUAAAGGGAGCGUAGACGGCGCAGCAAGUCUGAUGUGAAAGCUCGGGGCUCAACCCCGGAACUGCAUUGGAAACUGUUGUGCUUGAGUGCCGGAGGGGCAAGCGGAAUUCCUAGUGUAGCGGUGAAAUGCGUAGAUAUUAGGAAGAACACCGGUGGCGAAGGCGGCUUGAUGGACGGUAACUGACGUUGAGGCUCGAAAGCGUGGGGAGCAAAC
rnacentral:rRNA from 1 species